rnacentral:piRNA from 1 species
UCCUAUUUACAAGAAGAGAUAGAGGACUA